rnacentral:lncRNA from 1 species
UUUAUUUCCACCUUCACUACUUGUGAUCACCAGUAGGAACAAAUCCCCAGCAAGACGGUGAAACAUAAAAGAAACAGUACAGGAACAGGGCAUGGUCUGUAUCACACUCACUUAAGACAAAAAUAAGGAAGCUGAUAUUUCUGAGUGAAAAUAAUGUACUUUGGGCUGCAGAUAUUCAACUUUAUACUAUUAAAAAAAUACUACUUACAUAGUAUAAGAGGCAGUGUAUGAAUCCUGGCUGCUUACUAUUAGAAUUUGGUUAGGCUGGUAGCUUAUUAGAAUUUGGUUAAGCUACCAGCCUUGCCAAGUCUGUCAAAGGAAAUAACAUCUAACCAACAAGGGGUUGUUUAGUUAGUGAAUCAAGCCAGGGUGGCUCCUUCAUUAACAGCAAGUGAAGUCAGCAAGCACAGGUUGGUACCAGCCAGCCAUUGGUAAUAGCUCGACUCUGGGUAUUAUUCUUGUAUCUCAGGGUUGCCAACUGAAAGGCACUCACU